rnacentral:rRNA from 1 species
CCUACGGGAGGCAGCAGUGGGGAAUAUUGGACAAUGGGCGAAAGCCUGAUCCAGCCAUGCCGCGUGUGUGAAGAAGGCCUUCGGGUUGUAAAGCACUUUCAGUGGGGAAGAAAGCCUUGGGGCUAAUACCCUCGAGGAAGGACAUCACCCACAGAAGAAGCACCGGCUAACUCCGUGCCAGCAGCCGCGGUAAUACGGAGGGUGCGAGCGUUAAUCGGAAUUACUGGGCGUAAAGCGCGCGUAGGCGGUCUGAUAAGCCGGUUGUGAAAGCCCCGGGCUCAACCUGGGAACGGCAUCCGGAACUGUCAGGCUAGAGUGCAGGAGAGGAAGGUAGAAUUCCCGGUGUAGCGGUGAAAUGCGUAGAGAUCGGGAGGAAUACCAGUUGCGAAGGCGGCCUUCUGGACUGACACUGACGUUGAUGUGCGAAAGCGUGGGUAGCAAACAGGAUUAGAUACCCGGGUAGUC